rnacentral:rRNA from 1 species
UACGAAGGGGGGCUAGCGUUGUUCGGAUUUACUGGGCGUAAAGCGCACGUAGGCGGAUCGAUCAGUCAGGGGUGAAAAUCCCCAGAGCUCAACUCUGGAACUGCCUUUGAUACUGUCGAUCUGGAGUAUGGAAGAGGUGAGUGGAAUUCCGAGUGUAGAGGUGAAAUUCGUAGAUAUUCGGAGGAACACCAGUGGCGAAGGCGGCUCACUGGUCCAUUACUGACGCUGAGGUGCGAAAGCGUGGGGAGCAAACAGG